AUACGGAGGCUGCAAGCGUUACUCGGAAUCACUGGGCGUAAAGCGCGCGCAGGCGGCUAUUUAAGUUGGAUGUGAAAGCCUACGGCUCAACCGUAGAACUGCAUCCAAAACUAUUUAGCUAGAGUGUGGGGAGGAAGAUGGAAUUAGUUGUGUAGGGGUAAAAUCCGUAGAGAUAACUAGGAAUACCAAAAGCGAAGGCAAUCUUCUGGAACACUACUGACGCUGAGGCGCGAAAGCGUGGGGAGCAAACAGGAUUAGAAACCCUAGUAGUCC
rnacentral:rRNA from 1 species